CUGUGAGCAUGAACUAAUGAACCCUACUUGGAUGAAAGGCAAACAUCUUUAAAGACAAUACAAACAGUCUAGUUGCAGAAUUAUUCACAGGGAAGGAGUGUCCAUUGCGGUGGUCAGGUCCCACAGCUGGAUGCUACCAUUGCUGUGGCCAGUAAACAGAUAGCGACGUGGUCUGGAUCCCAUCCGACUGGAACCUUCGCACUCCCGAACCAUAAAGCAAGAGAUGGUGGUCCCAUCCACAGAUUGGACUUCACAGAUUCUACAUUAUAAAACAACAAAAGCUCAUAGAGGGAAAACCUCCACUGAACAUUUUUACUUGACUGAUAUACCUUCUCCCUGUGGAUGAGAGCCUGACAAAGAGUUUGUUGGUAACCGGGAUGACCUUCUGGAUGAACACCUGUUGAUCAUCUCUCUCUCCAAAUGGACCUGAGGGAACAAUCAUCAGAACUGAGAAAGACACCAGAGAAAAAAUAUUGAUAAUAAUCAAUAAUCUCUCACCGAUAUCAUUUCCUGAGCAAUAGCUGCCAUGGCUCUCGGUUUCCUCCAAGGAGAGUAUUUUGAAGGAGGCCAAAGGUGUGGACCCCGGCUGGGUGGAGAUCAUCCCUCGGAAGCGUGUCACCGUCCAAGUCCUGACGUGGUUGUUAUCAGCACACACUGACACCAGCACAGAAUGAGGGCUCCUGUGCACGGUGAACGUCUGGAAGAGCUGAGGACCCGAGCCAACGGUCUCUGGGUGCUGCACGAUGACUCUCACUGCACCACUGCUUGUCCCGUAAGCAAUCUCGAUCCAGUUGCCACUCACACCUGACAGAACCAGGCGACAUAUUAAUGUCUGCUUUCUUAUUCUGUUACUUUUCUUCAUUCAGCAUUUAUUAUCUCACUGCAAAGGUCUUGUUUUUGCACAUUUCUUCUCAUUCUUACAUUUUUGCACAUGUCCUUGAAUAUUGUACACAGGUGCUGGACCAUGUUGGUUACAUUUGCAAUGUCAGCGCACAUUUUUAUCUUUGGAAAUUUACCCUAACAUUCCUACAUGUUGCUGUUUUUGCAUGUUUCCACAUUUCUGCAUAUUUCUUCUGUUGUCGCACAUUUGUUUACCAUUGCACAUGUCAUGUCUUUGCACAUUUCUCCUCAUUCUUACAUCUUUUGCACAUUUUCUCAGAGUAAAUGUGCAUCUUUUACUACAUGUUUGCCUUGUCAUUGCACAUUUUUAACCACAUCUGAGCUUCCCUGUCAUUGAAUAUUUCUUUAAACAUUUCCCAUGUAAUCAUACUU